rnacentral:pre_miRNA from 14 species
AGUAGAGACUGAGUAUGAGAAUGUUUCAGUUUGGCAGUGCAUUGCUAGCUGGCUGUUGUGUACGUGUGUUAACAGUUGCUAGCUGUACUCCAUAUUGUUGCAUUCAGAAACAUCAUGGAAAUGGC